rnacentral:rRNA from 1 species
UACGGGGGGGCAAGCGUUGUUCGGAAUUACUGGGCGUAAAGGCUCGUAGGUGGCCAACUAAGUCAGACGUGAAAUCCCUCGGCUUAACCGGGGAACUGCGUCUGAUACUGGAUGGCUUGAGUUCGGGAGAGGGAUGCGGAAUUCCAGGUGUAGCGGUGAAAUGCGUAGAUAUCUGGAGGAACACCGGUGGCGAAGGCGGCAUCCUGGACCGACACUGACACUGAGGAGCGAAAGCCAGGGAGCAAACGGG